UACGUAGGUCCCGAGCGUUGUCCGGAUUUAUUGGGCGUAAAGCGAGCGCAGGCGGUUUUAUAAGUUUGAAGUUAAAGGCAGUGGCUAAACCAUGGUUCGCUUUGGAAACUGUUAAGCUUGAGUGCAGAAGAGGAGAGUGGAAUUCCGUGUGUAGCGGUGAAAUGCGUAGAUAUAUGGAGGAACACCGGUGGCGAAAGCGGCUCUCUGGUCUGUAACUGACGCUGAGGCGCGAAAGCGUGGGGAGCAAACAGG
rnacentral:rRNA from 1 species